GAUUGGACUGAAAUAAGACUACGAACUUGGAACAUUACUGAGAUGAUUAACAUGGCCCCUAACAAAGAUGAUACGAACAAAUCGAGAAAUGAUCCAAAUUGUU
rfam:Solanum tuberosum cultivar DM 1-3 516 R44 scf00361_14, whole genome shotgun sequence.